GAAAUCUGACUGUGGCCGAGGACCAUCACCUGGAAGAUACUGGAACAGAGACUUUGAGUCCAGACGGGAUUACAGUCCAUGUGAAAGUCCGGUCCCAAGUCCAAAAUUUGACUACAGCCCCAGAAACAGUCCUCAUCCCAGCCCAGAAUACAGUCCAUGCCCCAGUCCAGGAAUUAGCCUUGUGCCGAGCCCAGUGCCAAGUGUGUGCCCAAGUCCAGGAGACAGCCUCCAAGCGAGUCGAAGUCCCAGCCCUUUACCUUUACACCCUCCCAGAAGCCCUAGUCCAAGUCUUUUAUCCACCGCAGUACCUAGCCAAGGUACAUAUCCUCAGGUACAGCCACCUCAAAUAGAAAGUCCCAGGCAUAUUGCUAGGCCAACCGUUACCUCUAAUCCAGCACAUCGUCCCAAAGUAAGGCCAUGGGUGCCUCCGGACCAUAGUGCCAACCAGAGAAAGGAGUUUAGACCCAAAGACUCUAGAUCCAGAGACUCUCGAUCCAAAGACUCCAGACCUGGUCCUCCCCAUCAACCCCAUCAUUCCGAACACAGCUCAACAGAAAAGUCAAACAAAGAUCUCACACACAAGCUUGAAGCCAAAAACUCUGAAACCACAAACAAGCAAAGGUUUAACUCACCUUCAAACCCCAUCUCAAAGCAUUCGUCAAAGCAAAGACCAAGCGUUAGCCCAAAACCACAAGCCAGGCACUCAUCUACAACUGACCAUAGUAUUGAACACAAUCAAAGAAGCAAUGAACCUGCAGGAGUGUCAAUCCACAGUUCACACUCCAAAUCAGGCCAUUCAUCUCAUUUUAAUACUCUAAAGAGUUCCGACCGUGGUCCCUCGUCAAAGUCCAGGGACUCAUCCCGAAGCGAAGUCAACAGUCGAUCUAGUCACAGCUCGAAGACUAAAUCUUUCCCAGAUACAAAGCAGUCCAGCUCUAAACAGACUUCCCAACAGAGUUCCAGUCCAAAGCCCAAGGUCAAACUAGGGGAUGCCCCAGUGCCCAGAACUGGGCAUUUCCAAAAAGACACAAAGCCCAAAGAGAGAGAGCGAGAGGUGGGCAACCGAGGUAAGGCCCAGGGAGCAACCCUGGUGCAGACCAGCAAGGAGCAGAGACAAAGACUGGCGCAGGAGCAAGUAAUAAGGCGUCGCUGGGUUCGGAGUUCUGAGGAAGAGGAAGACGAGGAAGAUAGGAGAACCGAGGAAGGGGAAAGAGAGAGGAAGCGGAGGAGGAGGAGGGAGCAGGAAGUUGAAUGGAAGGCAGUGCAGCCCAAGCAAAGACCUCACACCAACAGCCAGCAUCACGCUCAAAAGGAAUACAAUGGACUUAACCUUGAGGAGCAGAGAAGGAAGAAGAGAAGGUGGAGCAAUGAGGACAUUUCCUCAGGUCCUCAUGUGACAGACACUAGCCUUUCUCCUCCACUUUCUCCACCUUCCCCUACUCCUGUCAUCAAGCCCACUCGCCCAUCAUCUUCCUCGUCCUCAUCAUCCUCAUCUUCCUCAUCAUCUUCCUCCGAAUCAGACUCUGAGUCCAGUCCACCCCAGAAUGUUGCCAAAGUCCCUGCAGAUUCAACAUCAAACCAAAAAGCUGUGUCAAAAAGGAGGCAUGACAAACAGACUUCAGGCACUGGUGCUCAACCCCACGGGUCGAGCAUAAGCACCCCUGAGAUAGAUAAACAAGGUCGGGGCAGACACAAACUCUACACACUGGUGCCUUUCGGCCGAUCUGAAAAGUCCCCCAACGUCGCACAUCGAGGCCUGAGAAAACUUGUUGUGAGGAUAGACCUCUCGCUUCUGGGUAGAGUCCCUAGUGCAGAUGAGAUUACCGAGGGACAGUCCUCAUCUUCAGCUUUGUCAUCAGGAAAGGCAAAAGAAAAGACAUCAAUGAAACACCUGCACCACUUGGACCAACUGCCUGGAGAUGGCAGAAGUAAAAGAAAAGCUGAAAAUGGAGAUGCUCAAAGAGAGAAUAAGAGAAAUCAAUCACGUGCAGAUAAACUACCAGUGUCAGUCCAUAAUGAGACUGAGGAAACCUUCAACAAGCAAAAUGGAUGUCAGGACGAUUACUUUUAUUCCAAGAGGCCAGUAUCCCCAUUGUCUCCUCCAUCUGGCAUACUGGAGCUCUCAAAACCCUCAGUAAAAGCUCAGCAUGCAGAGAAGUACCACACACCUCCAGAAAAAGACAAAGAUUCAACAGCACAGAAAAAACAGGACCAGAAGAUGCAGCCCAAGGUAGAGGUGGAGUGUGUCAGGGUGUCAGGACAUCUACAGUCUCUCUCUGGAUCACUGGUUCCUCCCUCGAAUCUUUCGCUCCACUACAGAGGAACCGUACCUAUCAGUGAUGUGUGAGUAAAUGUCUGUUAAUGCCUCUGUUUCAUUUUACAGUGCUGCUGCAUUUAAUGUCAAAUACCUUUCCAUAGUUCUUACCUAAUCUCUCCUUUCUUCCCUUGAUGUUAGCUCACAUCAUGCUGAGUACUACAUGCAUGAGGC
ensembl:lncRNA